GGGCAUGCAUGUGUAUUUCAAAAUUUUUUUUCUAAACAACGUAGUAGAAUAGAAGAUUAAAACUCCUUUUAACCUAAAUUAUGCAUGCAUAAAACAUAGAAUACAUGAAUUUAUUUCAUAUGCUGAAAUUGAACACAUACUAAAUUUUAUGUUAAAAUUCAAUAUGUAAUCGAAUCACAUACCUAUUUUAUAAUUUUUUUUUCAAAUCUAGAUAUGAAAAAGAGUAGGUUCUCUCUUAGCCACACAAGUGCUCGACCUCUAUAAAUAUCCACUCAGGAUCAGUCUGAAACAGUCCUUUUUGAUGUUGAUCUUUUUUCUUCAAGAAUAAUCACCCUGUGAAUCUGAACGAAGCUUGGAUUGUGAUCAACUCUUUGAUCCUUUUCUUAAUAUUUUUCUUCUUUUUUUCUCUUGCUCUUCUUUUCUUGAUUAUGAAGCAACCAAGGUCUGAAAAUCAGCAAGGAAGAGGGG
rnacentral:lncRNA from 1 species